rnacentral:lncRNA from 1 species
UGAGACAUGUAUCCCGACUAACAACAAAGAAAAACUCAAGUGAUAUGGCCCCACUUCUCUAUCCUAAACCAUUUAAAUAUAGAAGAGGGUAAAACUUGGGACUAUUAGUUCAUUGCCUUACAGCACUAACACUAAGCUAUCCCCCAAGGGGUCAUCACUCAUCGAAUAUUUUACACAAGUGCAAACAUUCAACAUUAGAAUUUGAUGAAAUCAACUAAGCACAAUAUUAUAUUUUAAUACAAAAACUCAUCACAAGAUCAUAAAUUAUAAACUUUCUAGACUUGUAAUUAUAAACUAUCUUCCAACUAUAUCUACUAAUAAAUACUAAUAUGCCAAAAGUUUCAAGUUCCUAUAAGUCUCCAACCCACAUGCCUUAAAAGAAAUUUUGAUCAUACAUAACUAUACUAUAUUUACUAUUGGCAUAUAUGUUUCAUGAGCCAUAUUUUAAAUUUCUAAUUUUCCAAGUUUAGUAUCAUCCCUAUAAAAGAAAAAAUAAUUCAAAAAUAAAUAAUAUACUAAGAUAAAGCUAUUAGGACCAAUGUGUUAUUCAUUUGCCUCAUGGCACUAAGACUUUUAUAUAUACAUACAUAUAUAUAUAUAUAUAUAUAUAUAUAUAUAUAUAGGUAAAGAUAGGUACAUAUAAAUUAAUAAUAGGCAAAAGUACACAGGACAUAUACAAGGAGCACUUAAAGGAAGCCCUUAAAAGAGAGGACACAAAAAAACCACCUUGACUCUCAAUAAGACUCCACUUAAUCUACAAAAUCAAACAAAAGCAUUGAGUCUUUGCUUAUGUACAUGCCAUGAGGCAAUCAAACAAAGAACUGGGACUUAGACUAGAUUGUUCUACAUUGCCUUGAUUGAUUUGGUGCCUCCUAGAGGUAAUAGAGAUAUUGGGUUAAGGGCUUUGGUAGUCGACUAAAAGAGAAAGCUCCUUGGCAAGUGGCUAUCUUUUCCUUGAUAUGGUGUUUGUGAUGGGAGAGAAAUGCUAGCAUAUUUGAGGAUAAAUGGACAUCCGUGGAUAAUAAUAGGGAUUUUAUUUGAAUUUUCUCCUCCCUUUGAGCUUCAGUCAUUAAGCAUUUUGCCCAUACUCCUUUGAAUUAUCUCUUAUUAGAUUGGAAGAAUGUUUGCUACAAAAGAGAUCACAUAAGAAGGUCAUGCUUGAUUGGUUACCCCUUUAGUAAGUUUGGUAAAAGUUAAACUUUGAUUGGUGUUUUUUGGGUAAUCCUGGAUAGUUAGAUAUAAGAGGCAUGAUCAAAGAUCAUUCGAGUACAAUAGUAAACAGGAUUAGCCUCACCUAUUAAGGCAUAGAUAUUAACAUUUUUAAAGUUCAGUGUUAAAUCCUAUUAUCGGUCCUUGAAGGUGGAGAACAACCCCUUAUUUCCAGCAAAGGAGGUAUGGGGUUCGCGUGCCCCUUUAAGAACUCGUUUCUUUGCUUGGGAAGCGGUGUGGGGUAAAAUUUCUACUGUUGAUAUGUUAAUGAGGAGAGGUUGGUCUAUGGUCAAUAGAUGCGUUCUUUGUAAAGAGAAUGAGGAAUCAACGGAUCAUAUUCUAAUUCAUUGUGGUAAGACAAGGGAGCUUUGGACUGUGGUGCUUUCUUCUUUUGGGGUGGUGUGGGUGUUCCCGAAUUCAGUGAGAAAUUUGCUUCUUGAAUGGAAAAUUAAGGGCCUAGAAAAGAAGAGGAGUGUAGUUUGGAAAAUGGUGCCUAUUUGUUUGUUUUGGUAUAUUUGGGGAGAGCGGAAUAGAAGAAUGUUUCAAGAAGAAGAGAAGUCAGAUAUGAGCUUGAAGAAUCUCUUCCUUCGGGCUCUUCUUGAAUGGUCUCAACAAGUCAUGGACGUGGACUUUUUAUCUUUUAUGAAUUUGUUGGGUGGUUGAAUUGUUUGGCCUUUUUUGGCUUUUCUAGGUUUUUGUUCUUUUCCUUUGUUGCCUUGGGUGAGGCCUUCUUUGUAUACUGCCGGUGUGCUUAGGGAGCGCCCCCUUUUUUGGCGUGUUCUAAUAUGAUUUCGUCUCUUGGUUUAUCAAAAAAAAAAAACAUUUUUGAAGGCUUGUUGUACGCUAAAGCUUUAUGCACAUUUAAUCUAAGUGUAGAGGGAGAUUUUGCUAUUGUAACAUCUUGGAUAUCUAAUACGAAAAGAAGUUCAUGGAAGUUCAACAAUUGGAUCCACAAAACUCUAAAUGUUGCUAGUUAGGAGAGAUGUUCCAUUUCUUGAGUUCCUUAUUCAACUAAUCAAGAAUUAGACCACCUAGCCAAGCAAGAAACAAGGUACUUGGCCUCCUUUGCAAGAGAAUUUUUUUCCCUCCUAAGUGUAUUAAGUUUCUACCAAUGUUUUAAAAACUGGACUGGACCGGACCGGCCGGUCUGACCAGUCCGAUCGUCGACCGGUGAUCUUUUCAAUCUAGUCCACCCUUUUAAGUCGGCGACUUAUUAAACUGGCCUCGAAUUGUCAGAACUGACAGUCGGACUGAUAAACCCGGUGAACUGGUCGGUUUGUAGUGAACGGAACAAUUCACUACAUUUUUUAUUUCCAUGAGAGAGAGAAAUGGUGGGAUGGUGGGGAUGAGACGGUUGCUGGCUGGCAAUCGAUCGUCAUAGGAGCUACUACCAGCAGCGAGGUGGCUGGUGGUGAGGGUAGGCCUCAGCACAGUGAGAGAAAGAAGGAAAGAAAGAAAAGAAAUGGGAGAAGAGAAGAAGAAGAAGAAGAGAAAGGGGAAAAAAUGGGGAGAUGCGACUGUGGUGGGAAGAGAUGGGUUUUGAGGAGAAGAAGAAGAAAGUGAGAAGAAGAAGCAAAAGGGGAAAAAAUGGGAAGGUCUGGCUGUGGUGGGAAGAGAUGGGUUUUAGGGUUUGUUUUUGAAUGGAUGGUGGAGAUGAAUUGAAAAUGAAGGGUUGAGAUAGGUUAUCUAAAAAUAGGUAUAAAUGGGCAUAAAAUUUGGCUCUCUAAAAGUAAAAAUUCAUUUAUAUUUUAUCUUUAUUAUUUUUAUAUUUGAUAUAUCAAAUAUAAAAUUGAAAUAUUAUUAAAAAAAAUUAUUAUAUAUUUAAUUU